AGGAUGCAGGUCCAGACUCACCAAACUGCCCAGCUCAGCAAUCAAUCCAAAGUACCUUCCAGAAAGGCAAAUUCAUCCACAGCUUCUAUUGCAUUAUCCAAAUCUCUCCUCUGAAGAGUUUUCCUCUUCCCUUGUUGAGCACAACAGUAGGCAUCUUUUGCAAUGGUUUCCACAAACAGUUCCGCGGCGCGUGCCAGAAUGAAGAUGGCUUCCUGUCCCGCGAGAGUCACGUCGGGGUCCGCCUUCACCAAGGCCUUCACUCGCGCCAGAGGCAGCCUCGAGAGACGAGCUCCGGGCGCACUCGUCGGGGCUGGCGGCUGCGGCGAGGGCUGGCUUCGCGCCGGUUGCGGGGGGGCGUGGCCACGUGAGCCAAGGGGGGGCGGGGGGGCGGGGCGGGGCGGGGCCUGCUAUCCCUGGAGGCGCUGUAGGGACUGUCCCGGCAGGGCGUGUGUCUGGUGUGAGUGCGGAUCAACGGGCGGUAAUGGUGUCGUCACUCUGCAGUUAGGGAAGUUUUAUAUUCUGUUAGCUGCUCACUGACACCUUCAUCAGUUUUGUCUUUUCCGCUUUUUGAAUGCUAAAGCUGGCUUUCAGGUCUCAAAUGUAUGAGGAAUGAAUGAAAACGCCUUUACAUUCACCGUUACCACCGUGAUCAUCAGCAUCAACAUCCAAUACCUUAGUCCAAGGAAAUGAAGAGAACGCUGCAGUCAAACAGAUCUGGGUGCUGAGUGAACUUGAUCAAGUUAUCUGUACUUAUCCUCUCAACCUUCUUUACCUUACUUGUAAAAUGGAGAAGCUGACACCAGCGCCAACACUGGGUGGCUGUGGGGUAAACGAGAUUAAAUAUGUGACGGGCCUAUUGUUUUAAUUCCUGUCUGCUGUCAUUUAAAUGAUUGUUGCUAUUCAGACUUUCAACAUCUUUUUUCAGUAGACUAUUAAAAGUUUCUGACUAGCCUUAGUUACAGUGUUAUUCCUGCUAAUACACAGAAUACAUACAGGAGAUCUUCCCAAAUGCAAAUCACAUCCAGAGACUGGAGUCACUGGCUUGCAUGGAAUCCGCUGUGGCUCCCCUGUACCCUUAGGAGAAAGGCCCGGCUUUUGGUUAUGGUCUACAAGUACCACUCAAAUUCAAUCCCCUCCUACUCAACUAUUUCAGCGUUUUCUCUCAAUUUAUGCUUCACUAACACCCAACUUUUUAAUUUAGGGCACCCAACACACCCUCCCAGAUCCCAGCGUGCCAUCUCUAGUCUGAGAUUUUGAGAAAGCGGGUAUAAUUACCUCCUGGCUCUUUAAACAUUUUUUUUUUUUUUACUAGUUUUUAUUAAAAUUAGCUCCUUCUUUGAAGUUUCCCUCUUUGUCCUGAAUUGCCUCUAAACCCCAGGAUUUGUGGAGUCCAACCAGGAAUCUUUUUACUAUCUCCAGAGUUUUGCCUUUUUCAGAACAUAUAGCUGGAAUCACAUGGUAUGUAGCCUUUUCAGAUUAGCUUCUUUUUAAAAUUUCUUUAUUUAUUUGGCUGUGCUGGGUCUUCAUUGCUGUACUCGGGCUUUCUCUAAUUGCAGUGAGUGGGGGCUACUCUUCUCUCUUUGUUCUGGUGGCUUAUCUUGUUGCAGAGCAUGGGCUCUAGAGCACAGGCUCAGUAGUUGUGGCAUACAGGCUUUGCUCCAGGACUUUGCUCCAGAAUCUUCCCACACCAGGGACUGAACCUGUGUCCCCUGCAUUGGCAGGCAGAUUCUUAGCCACUGAACCACAGAGGGAAGUCCCUGACUCUUGGUUAGAAUCUCAAUUUUUCUUUUAAUCUCCAUUUAAUUCAGAUGUUACCCUUCUAAUAAUUAUUCCAGAACCAUCCAUAGUUAAGAGCCCUCAGGCUUUGUAGAUAAACCUUUACUCAGACUUUCAUUUGUAAAAGCAAAACAAACCAAAAAGAUAAAACAAAAAAUCACCCACAAUGGGACUGAGGCAUACAUAUAUAAAAUAUAUCUUAUUUUUUCCCUGUUCUUGAACUGCUCCUUAACCAAUGAAUUGAUGAAAACUUUCCAUAAAUGCACUGAGAAUAAAAUGAAACAUAUAAAACUUAAAAUAUUUUUUAAAAACUCGUAUUUACUAUUAUGAGUUUUGGAGAAUUUAAAACAACAGCUCACAACAUAUCCAGAAAUGAAUUCUAGGUAGGCAGCUUAGAGAAUUAAAUAUAAACACAUACACCAACAGUAGAAGAAAACAUAAUAGAAUAUCUAAUCUCUGAAGAUGGAAUAACUUCCAGAGCUUAGAAAAGGAUUCAAUAUCAUAAGAUAGAGAUGAACAGCACUUACUUUCAUACCUUAAAAAUUGGACUUAUUUACUGCAGAUACAAGGAUUGGUGUGUAUUUUACAUAAAGAAUUUUUACAAAAGAAUUGAAAAACAACCAAGAGUUAAAGUGCAAAAGGCAUGAAAAAAAAUUCACAGAAGUACAACUGGUGAUCAACAUAUAUAAUGAUGUUCAAUAUCACUGUUAAUUCAAGUUAAAGUAACAAGGUUUUGUUUUCUUUCCAUUUAUUAGUACGGGUCACAAUUCUGUUACUAAGCUGCCUUCCAAAUAACAAUUCACAAUGUUUCCAGGAGUGUUUCCAAGAGCGUCACUUUUAUUAAUUCUUUACUGUCAUUUAGCAUUAUAUUUUUAGUUUUUUUAAUUCAUUCCCUUUCACCCUAUACUUUUGUUUCUUAGAAACUUUUUAGGCUAAUAAUCCCAAAUAUGGUGAAAAAAAGUUUAUCACAGCUUUAAAAAAUACAGUAAAACAGUGCAUGGUCCAGCAAUCAGUUCAGUUCAACUCUCAGUCAUGUCCGACUCUUGGCGACCCCAUGACUUGCAGCACGCCAGGCCUCCCUGUCCAUCAUCAACUCCCAGAGUUCACCCAAACUCAUGUCCAUUGAGUCGGAGAUGCCAUCCAGCCAUCUCAUCCUCUAUUGUCCCCUUCUCCCCCUGCUCCCAAUCCCUCCCAGCAUCAGGGUCUUUUCCAAUGGGUCAGUUCUUCACAUCAGGUGGCCAAAGUAUUGGAGCUUCAUCUUCAGCAUCAGUCCUUCCAAUGAAUAUUCAGGAUUGAUUUCCUUUAGGAUUGACUGGUUUGAUCUACUUACAGUCCUCAUCUAUGGGUUUGUAUCAGUAACUGUUCAAAGGCUUUUGGGAUUUAUCCUAAGUUUGACAAUAGGCAUUUAGCUUUUGUUUAAAAAUUGUUUUAUUAUGAAAUAUAUCAUAUAAAAUAAAUCUAAAACAGGCUUCUAGUUUUUAAUUAAUGUUUAAUUAUAGAUAUCAAAGACAGGAUGAGUGAAUCUGAAGGGUAUUAUGCUAAAUGAAAAAACCCAGACAGAGAAAGACAAAUACUGUAUGGUAUAACUUACAUGUGGAAUCUUAAAAAAAAAGAGACUCAUAGAAGCAGAGAGUAGAAUGGUGGUUUCAAGGAGUCUAAGGAAGGGGCACAUAGGGAACUAUUGAUCAAAGGGUGCAAACUUUCAGUUAUAAGAUGAAUAAAUUCUGAGAAUCUAAUGUUCAAUGUGAUAAAUAUAGCUAACAGUUCAGUUCAGUCGCUCAGUCGUGUCCGACUCUAUGUGACCCCAUGAAUCGCAGCACGCCAGGCCUCCCUGUCCAUCACCAACUCCUGGAGUUCACUCAGACUCACGGCCAUCGAGUCAGUGAUGCCAUCCAGCCAUCUCAUCCUCGGUCGUCCCCUUCUCCUCCUGCCCCCAAUCCCUCCCAGCAUCAGAGUCUUUUCCAAUGAGUCAACUCUUCACAUGAGGUGGCCAAAGUA
rnacentral:lncRNA from 1 species